GCAACGGAUAUCUUGGCUCUUGCAACGAUGAAGAACGCAGCGAAAUGCGAUACCUAGUGUGAAUUGCAGAAUUCCGCGAAUCAUCGAGUCUUUGAACGCAAGUUGCGCCCGAGGCUUGUCCCGAGGGCAUGCCUGCCUGAGCGUC
rnacentral:rRNA from 1 species